rnacentral:rRNA from 1 species
AGUGAACGCUGGCGGUAGGCCUAACACAUGCAAGUCGAACGGCAGCACAGUAAGAGCUUGCUCUUACGGGUGGCGAGUGGCGGACGGGUGAGGAAUACAUCGGAAUCUACUUUUUCGUGGGGGAUAACGUAGGGAAACUUACGCUAAUACCGCAUGCGACCUACGGGUGAAAGCAGGGGAUCUUUGGACCUUGCGCGAUUGAAUGAGCCGAUGUCGGAUUAGCUAGUUGGCGGGGUAAAGGCCCACCAAGGCGACGAUUCGUAGCUGGUCUGAGAGGAUGAUCAGCCACACUGGAACUGAGACACGGUCCAGACUCCUACGGGAGGCAGCAGUGGGGAAUAUUGGACAAUGGGCGCAAGCCUGAUCCAGCCAUACCGCGUGGGUGAAGAAGGCCUUCGGGUUGUAAAGCCCUUUUGUUGGGAAAGAAAAGCAGCAGGUUAAUACCCCGCUGUUCUGACGGUACCCAAAGAAUAAGCACCGGCUAACUUCGUG